rnacentral:tRNA from 3 species
GCUGGUGUGGCGGAAUAGGCAGACGCAAGGGACUUAAAAUCCCUCGGGGGCAACUCCGUGCCGGUUCAAGUCCGGCCACCAGCAUCA